rnacentral:rRNA from 1 species
AUGCUGAAGUGUAUUUCCGAGAUCAAAUGAUCACAUCACCCAUACACCAGUUCACUUAUGACAAAGCUUGUGGUAAAUGAUUAUAUGAGACUGUACUUGCCCAAGGAGAUUGAGUACAAGAAUCCUCGUAAGAGGGAUGGCUUGUGGGCCUUUGCUUUUUCUCUGGAAUCCAAGUCUGCGACUAAACCCACAUUCAGGUGUCUAGCUUGCAGCCUGAAGGUCUUCAGUUCAGCAACUAUCCAAGACAUUCGCUUGCACCUAGAACAGUGCCCUGGAAUGACGUCCCCAUAUGUUACUGAAUUGUUUGAAUACUUCAAUACCAUAAAGAAUUUGAGUGCUGGGAAUCAACCUGCGCAACUUGCAAAGGCUGCUGGGAAGAGGCAACGGGUUGAUUCCACCGCAGCCGCUGGCAACUCCUUCAAUGCUGAUAGGCAGUAUUCCUUUCCAGAUCUACAAAGAGAGGUGCAAGGUGCCGAAGAACUAUUCACAGAGAUUGAUAAUGAAGUGCAUGAAGUCGUUGACAUGUACAAUGACAUGGGAACAAAGGUGGGAACAAUUCUUGGGUUGUUCGAUAGGUUGAGACCCAAAUUCAAGAAGAUGAAAGGUCUGGCAUGUGCUGGUCAUUCAGGUGUGCCUUCUGUAGCAGCAGUCACACAUCUUUUUGCUACGGAACCCGUCUCCACAAGGGACGAUGAAGGUGCACAUGAUACUCCUGCAAACAAUGCGAUCGUCGAUGAAACAAAGGCUGUCAGUGCUACCCAAGUUCAGUCUGAUGGCAACUGUUUUUCUGAUGAAGUGAUGAGCAUACACGAAAUUCCCAGGAGUGCCAGUGAUCCAGUAUAUGAACUGGCUGAUGUUGAAGAAGAUGAUGAUGCUGAUGAUGAUAGUGCCGCCAAGGAAAAGGACAAUGAGAUGGACACAUCGGAAUACACCGGGAACCCAUCCAACCAUCCGUCGUCUAGUUCUGCCCCGGCGAAUAACACUAAUGUGACUCAAGUUCAACAACAGGAGCUGCCGACUGUUGGCUCUGGUGGUGCGACGGGAGGUGGUCCUGUGUUGUUGACAGUCACUUCGUUUAACUCUGCACCGCAGACACCGAGAGGCAUGGAGCUUGCCGCGGAUCUUAGAGUCAAUUCCACGUUACCUGGAUGUCUCGAAAGAUCCCCUCGGGUUCACCAACAGGAGUUGUCCUCGCCUUCUACACUGCAGGCUGUGGUUGCAUCGCAGCCGUCGUCGCAUUCUCGGCCUGCAUCGUCGCAGUCCGCUGCCCUCCUGUCGGAGCAAGUCACCGGCGGCUCGGCGGGGCGCCCGGACUCUUCUGCAGUACACCUACAACCAGCUGCUAAGGUGGCGUCGCAGCCGCCGUCGUCGACGCGGACGGCAGCGUCUAAGCCGGCUGUUCCCGAGCCGGUGCAGGCUGCCGAUGGUACAGCGCAUGCGGGGUGCCGGCAUCCUGUGGCUACGGUUGAGGCCAAUUGGCAUGCAGCUCAUGUGGAGAUACCCAUGCAUGCACGUACUGGGGUAGUGGAGCUACCCAUGCAUGCAUGUAGUGAACCUGGACGUGAAGGGCUACCCCCAAGUGUGCAGCCGUGCAUAGCUGCACCCGCGGCUGCCCUUCGGUCUCUGUCCGCGCCGGACGAGUCCGCGGCCGCUCCUCAGUCUCAGGCGGAGCCGGACGUGUCUUCCUCAUCCAUGCACGCUCCUCCAGUCGGGCCAUCUUCGGAAGUGCCGCCGUGUGUUACGGCGGCCGAGACUGCCGGGGAGGUGGUUGCUACUACACCCACAUCCCCCCCUCCAGUGGCGGUGCUUGCGCGACACCCUUCACCAAGAAUGACACCUACACGCCGAAGUGGCCGUCAUGCGGUGGCCGACGAUGGAAGGAUGGACAUUGACGAGAACUCUUUGGUCAAGGCUAUGCGGCGUAAAGCGGCGCAGAACCUCGACAACCAAGGUUACUCCACGAGUUUCUAG